AAAAGCCUUCUUAGCAAAAGGAUCAGGGCAGAAGGAAUCGGCCCGUGGUGACUGCAAAGCUGUUGGAGUCCUAUCGGAAGGUAGGCAAGCCAGAUCUGCUUCAAGUUCCUGGAAAAACAGCUGUUUGAUGCUUGCUGGAAGUGGAGUAAUCCUAACAGUCGAGAUUUGGAGAAGCCACCACCUUACAGGAAGGCCAGAGCACUUGUCUGGGAUGCCAGGACACUCCUCCAGCUCCCAGCGUGGCCAGGAAAAACCUCAGGGCAGGUCAGGUCCAGCAACAUGAAAGCGUCCCCAGCUCUGCAGGGAUGUGAGCGGGGACGGCCAUGGGACAGAGGGAGCGAGGCUGAGCACGCUCCUCAGCGGUGACAGCAGCUUCUACAGCACUGUGAGUAAAUUACACGCGUUGGCAGUGGAUAUCCUUAGCAGUAAGGAAAAUUAGAAAGCGCGGUGAUUUCUGGUCAAAUAUCUUAUUUAAAAAAUAAAUAAAUACCAUUUCAAAGCAAGGCAUUCUCAAGGUUCCCCUCUCUCCCCACCUUCUUUCUUUCAUGUGUUUUCUUGUGUCAAAGCCUAGGCCCAACAUUAAAAUUAGCAACUGUUAUUAAAGGAGAGGCUUUUUAGGC